AUACUCUGGUUUUCCUUCAUAUCGCAUAAAUCUUUCGCCUUUUACUAAAGAUUUCCGUGGAGGAGAACAAAUUUGAGUCUCAAACCAAUUUUUUGGGGGUCCUGUUUAUUCAGGGCU
ensembl:snRNA U5 U5 spliceosomal RNA